rnacentral:rRNA from 1 species
CUAUGUUACGACUUAUCUUACCUUAAUAGUAAGAGCGACGGGCGAUGUGUACAUAUUUUAGAGCUAAAAUCAAAAUCUUUAUCUAUAGAAUUUUACUAUCAAAUCCACUUUCAUUAAACAUUUCAAAUUUAAAUUCAUUUAAAUAAUUUUAUUGUAACCCAUCUCUUCUUAAGCAUAAGCUACACCUUGAUCUGAUAUAAAUUUUAAUAAAAAUUAAAGAAAAUUAUUAUUCUAAUAAAAUAUUCUGAUAACGACGGUAUAUAAACUGAUUUACAAACUUAAGUGAGGUACAUCGUGGAUUAUCAAUUACAGGACAGGUUCCUCUGAAUAGACUAAAAUACCGCCAAAUUUUUUAAGUUUCAAGAACAUAACUACUACUACCUUAGUAUAAUUAUCUACAUUUUAAAUAAUAGGGUAUCUAAUCCUAGUUUA